rnacentral:ncRNA from 2 species
AUGACGAUAAGGGGAGAGACCGCAGCAGACUAAGACUGUGUGCGGCGCCGAAGGAGCAAACAUUUGUGAAUCUCUCAGGCAAAAAGACUCUUAUUUGACG